UUCAGGGGGUUUUGGUGAUCCACAGUCAAUGUGCUGGUCCCUGUGGAUGCUGGUGCCACGUUCUUCACAGGAAUUUCAUGUUCUGAGCUGGAUUUCUGCAGUUGGAGAGAUGGAAGGAAAGUUCUGACUUCUCCAUUGAAGGCACACGCUCAUGACUGGCAUUGUCUGGGCCCUGGACCUAAAUUAAGCUGGUUUUUUC
rnacentral:lncRNA from 12 species